GACGAACGCUGGCGGCGUGCUUAACACAUGCAAGUCGAACGAUGACGCCCUAACUUGCUCGGUCUGAUUAGUGGCGAACGGGUGAGUAACACGUGAGCAACCUGCCCUUCACUCUGGGAUAACCUCGGGAAAGGGGGCCUAAUACCGGAUAUGAUCCCCUGUCGCGGGGCGGGCGGUGGAAAUUUGUUCCGUGUAGGAUUGGCUGGGGGGCUGUCGGAUUGGUUGGGGGGUAGGGGCUCAGCAAGGCGAUGACGGGUACCCGACCUGGGAGGGGGGACGGCCACACUGGGACUGCGGGACGGACCAGACUCCUACGGGAGGCAGCAGUGGGGAAUAUUGCACAAUGGGCGCACGCCUGAUGCAGCGACGCCGCGUGAGGGAUGACGGCCUUCGGGUUGUAAACAUCUUUCGGCAGAGACGAAGCGAAAGUGACGGUACCUGAAGAAGAAGCGCCGGCUAACUACGUG
rnacentral:rRNA from 1 species